CGUGACCUCUGCCGAUCUCUCUCGCCAUGAUGGCCCAAACCCCAGCCCUAAUCGCAAUCCCAACCCAAAUCGGGCGGCCCAGUGCCGCGGCACAGCCGGCCGAUCUGCUCCUCUUGAUCGGUUCGUCGCCGCCGGAGGGCGGAAUUCCUUUGUGUUCCUUCUCUCGUUCGGUGCCUCUACCGAUCCCCCGCUGACAACGUUGUCCUGCCUGUUGUUAACUUGGUGGUGCAAUAGUUCACCUCCACCUCUUUCGGUUGCGGAUUAGUUGUCGAGGCUUCAUUUUGGGUCUUUCAUAACUAUGAAAUUUUUCUGUGCAGUGAGGCGGAGGAUCUCUGGCAUCUGUAGGUUCUACUCCUCCUUGAUAAGAUAUGAGGAGGUGAUGAUAAUGAACCAGUCAACACAGAAACACCACCGCCAACUACAAGACAUAGGAGAAAGAAGUCAUCAGUUUGGGAGCAUUUUACAAUCAAAGAAGUCUCUGGCGGAUGUUUGCGAGCUUGCUGCAAACUGUGUAAACAAACCUUUGCAUACAGUCAAAGAUAGCGGGCACUAGCCACCUCAAGAGACAUAUCACCUUAGGUUCCUGCCCCGAAAUAAAAUAUCAGUACAAACUGGCACUUGCAUCGGUGGCAAAAUCUGAUGGAGAUAUCCCUGAUCCACCCGAAAGACGCUAUAGGUCAUCUGGUUUUUCAAGUGUUUUUGAUCAGGACCAAAGCUGUGUGAAUCUUGCCAAGAUGAUCAUUGUGCAUGAAUAUCCACUCGACAUGGUUGAGCAUGUUGAAUUGGUGGAAGCUCAACCAUCUCAAGUAUCCAACGCUCUCGAAGAUGGCCCGAGAUAUCAUUAGUUUCAUGGUUUUAUUUACACAUUUAAUUUUUGUUGUUUUAUCUUACAUGUUGAAUUUUGUUCAUGUUUUCUUUGACUGUGGGUUUUGCCGCCUUACAUUUUUGGUUUUCGUUAAUUAUUUCAGAUAAAUGCUAGACAUAUUUGAAGUUUAUCACUUCCAAUUUUUUUGAAAGUCUGUUUUUCACUCACAAAUAUGGUUCAUUUUGUAGGUUGCGGUGUGAUCUAAGGAAAUAAUAUGAUCAAGGAGCGUAUCAUCUCUUUCUUUCUCGGGUUUUCCCCCUCCAUGUUGAAGUGCAUGGAUGUCCCUGGACUAUGUACCUACCUGCUCUCAAAAAAUGUGACCUCUUGCUAUCAGGGACUUGGCAAGUUCAUUGUAAAAGUUCUGAAACAUGAGAGGAAUCUUUGUUGCCAUUGAUUCUGCCAGCAAAAGCCGGACUGUGUACCAAUUUCUAUUGGGAGUGGCUGGGUUCGAAUGGGUAAGUGUGUGUGAUCGAUCAACAAGGUGGUGGUUACAUGAUCCUCCUGAAGACCUCAUUAAAUGGUGUAUCAUCCAAGUGAGUGAACCGCUGUGAGAAAUGGGAAAGGUCUUUUAUAGCACGAGUUUUCCAUCCUAAAACAGCCCCAUCAUUCUAUGAUCUAUGGGUAAUAUGGUAAAUUGGAUUUGCUUCCCUUCA